rnacentral:lncRNA from 8 species
AUGAUGAGUUGCCGUCGUCAUUUGAUAUUCUGCGUCCUCUUAUUGCUAUUUGAUGAAGGGUCACUGAGGUACAUCCCAUUCCCAGCAGCACCCCUCAUCCCUGCUGCCUACACAUUGGAGCCACAGGGAGACCUCUCAACAAGCCAAGAUGUCCUCACUCCUUCCCCAUCACAUCUUCUGACCCAAACUCACCACAAUCCUACAGCAGCAUCCAAAGACCAGCACAACACACCAUCCCAUCAAGAUAUUAUUGAUCUAUCUGGAUUUUCAACCAUUGGCAAUACUGACCACUUUGACUCAAUAUCCACAACUUCUCCAAGUGGUGGUCUCAAAUUCAACGCCAGCCGGAAUGCCAGUCAACUUAUUAAUGAUCAAGCGUCAUCAUCAUCAGCUGACGAUAUUGGCUACACUGAACAGAUAGACAACAAAACUAAAAUGGCGACCGCUAGUGGUUGGAAUAGCAGCAGUGAUGUUACACCUUCCUCUUCUUCUGCUGUUUCUUAUUCUGAGCUAAACAACUCUCUUGAUGGAACCAACAUUAGCCAGAGCAACGCUAGUGGCCACACUGAAGAUCUCUCUGUGACUUUGGAGGACUGUCCUCAUCCGAAUGGAUCUGUGGUGGUGCUGGAAACAAGUGAUUCGUUAGCUGAUCUAAACGUUGAUCCUAUGUCAGCCCCCGACGUCAUUGACUUCUACACUCAUCGGACAGAUUCUGUCUCGGUCACCGAUGACCUUGGCAACACUAGUCUUAGUUUACAUCGUAACAACACUAACGUUACUGUCACAGUAGAUACUAGUGCAGUAGUUACUGAGACGGCAGCGCAGGCUGAACCGACCACAGACUUCAUGCUGGGCCUGGAGGAGGAGGAAGAGCGGGAAGAAGAGGAGGAAGCCAUUGGCCAUCUUAAUACUACUCAGGAUGCUUCACUCUCAGACCCCCUGAUCGACGAUAUUAAUCAGGCUUAUGACUCAACAGAUUCCAUCGAAGCGACCAAUGACUACCAGAGUACUGUUACCAGCGGAGACGAAGGAACCACAUCACCUACGGUUACUAGUACCAGCGUGGAGCGGAGUGACGAGAAUGAGAACCAGGAUGUGCUUCCUAUUGCGGCUCCUAUGAUUGGCUAUCCUUCCUUGGAGUCUGUGGAUCCUGAUGAAAGCACCACAAAGUCAACUGUUGUGCUGAACUACAUUGACUACAUUGACUCUGAACCUAGUUACUCUAACCACUAUGUGAAUGUAGCCAGCAGUGAAAAAGCUGCCCACACUUCAUCCUCCUCCUCCUCUCCUCUCGAACCUGACAGUGACCACCUCCAAUCUGCUGAUGAUGCUGAACUAGAGGUACUAGGCUCUGGGUUGGAGGAAGAGGAGGAGAAUAGGAGCGGAGAUAACAACUGUAGCAGCUGUAGCUAUGGUAACACCACCGCCAGUGCCAGUCACCAUCCCACCACCACCAUUGACAACACUGACUAUGAUUGGGGCUCGGCUGAAGUCAGUACGACAGGUAACCAGGGUAACAGCACAGCAGACAUUGAAGUCCCAACUGAAGUUAGUAGGAUUGGUCAGGGAAACAGCAGCAGCAUCUCCAUGGUACCCUCUGCUGAAAGCACGGUCAGCUCUGUCCAUGGUAACUCCACAGUCAUUGUUCUAUCUGACUACAGUGACAACAACAUCACCACUACUCUGACCCCCACCAACCGUACCACCCCCACCGCCGUGCUAGAGGAACCCACAGGAGAGAGCCGACGUGGGACUGCAUGUUCUCCCAGCAAGGCCCUACCCUCCACCACCACCACCAGUCUGGAAGCCAAAGAGGAGGAGAAGGACCAGAAAGCGUCUGAUGCUGCAAAGAAGGCGGUGUCAUUGUGGAACAGGGGCCGCAUGUUGUGGAACAGGGGCCGCAUGUUGUGGCCUCGGUUUCCAUGGAUGCGCAGGUAUUAG